rnacentral:lncRNA from 1 species
GAAUGAAGGGAUUGACGCUAUGAUUUCCAAGAGCCUCUGGCUAUGCUGCUGAUUUUCCAGUGGUUUCUCUGAGUAACGACAUUCGUGGCACGAAUGAACCUGGAUUCUGGUCUUGCAGCUUCUGAUUGGCACCCUCUGCCUAUAUAAUGUCAGGAUGUGGAAUCCUAGAGUCGGAGUCUUAUCUUCCUCUGGAUUCUGAAGUUUUCCUCUCUGUGCUGCCUGCUCUACCACUGACCAUCAUGAAGUUUUUGGUGUUCCUGGCACUGGUGGCAGUUUCCACCUUCCUGGUUUCUGGCCAGGUUACAAUAGAAGUUCCUGCUUCUUCUUCUCCUGCCUCUGAUACAACCACUAAUGAUCCCACCACCAUCUCUGCUGCCGCCACGGAGUCAACUGUGGCUGCCACAUCCACGGCUGCUCCCACCGCAACCACGGCUGCUCCCUCCACAACCACAGCUGCCGCCACAUCCACUGCUGCUCCCACCAGCGCCACGGCUGCUGCCACAUCCGCGGCUGCUCCCACCACAGCUACGGCUGCCACCACAUCCGCGGCUGCUCCCACCAGCGCCACGGCUGCUGCCACAUCCACGGCUGCUCCCACCAGCGCCACGGCUGCCACCACAUCCGCGGCUGCUCCCACCACAUCUACUGCGGCUGCCAAAACGACCACUGCUGCCAAGACCACCACGUCCUAUGAUGACUGCCUCUUUUAUUUUCGUUUUACCCCAUGGCUUCGGUUAGUUUACUGCUAAAAGUUAUCACUGAGAUGGAAUCAGCUUCAGCCUUCUAUAUUUGAUCCUGCUGGAUUCGGCCAGAAUGCCCCUUGAUUUGUUUCACUGCGACUACUUUCCAGCCCUAUCAUAUCUCUCUUAUCUCUAAUCAGUUUCUAUUCAUUCAAAUAAAAUGAUCAGUGACAUCA